rnacentral:misc_RNA from 1 species
GAUGAAGAACGUAGCGAAAUGCGAUACGUAAUGUGAAUUGCAGAAUUCAGUGAAUCAUCGAGUCUUUGAACGCACAUUGCGCCCCCUGGUAUUCCGGGGGGCAUGCCUGUCCGAGCGUCAUUGCUGCCCUCAAGCACGGCUUGUGUGUUGGGCCUCCGUCCUCCUCCCGGGGGACGGACCCGAAAGGCAGCGGCGGCACCGCGCCCGGUCCUCGAGCGUAUGGGGCUUCGUCACCCGCUCUUGUAGGCCCGGCCGGCGCUUGCCGACACAUCAAUCUUUUUUCCAGGUUGACCUCGGAUCAGGUAGGGAUACCCGCUGAACUUAAGCAUAUCAAUAAGCGGAGGA